rnacentral:rRNA from 1 species
GUCACUGACGAGUUUGAUCAUGGCUCAGAUUGAACGCUGGCGGCAGGCUUAACACAUGCAAGUCGAGCGGAGACUUCGGUCUUAGCGGCGAAUGGGUGAGUAAUACCUAGGAAUCUCGCCUAUUAGGUGGGGGAUAACGAUACGAAAGGUUCGCUAAUACCGCAUACGUCCUACGAGAGAAAGGGGGGGGAUCUUCGGACCUCUCGCUAAUAGAUGAGCCUAGGCCGGAUUAGCUAGUUGGUAGGGUAAAGGCCUACCAAGGCGACGAUCUGUAGCUGGUCUGAGAGGAUGGCCAGCCACACUGGAACUGAGACACGGUCCAGACUCCUACGGGAGGCAGCAGUGGGGAAUAUUGGACAAUGGGGGCAACCCUGAUCCAGCCAUGCCGCGUGUGUGAAGAAGGCCUUCGGGUUGUAAAGCACUUUAAGCGAGGAGGAAGGUUUUUAGUUUAAUACACUAAAGAAUUGACGUUACUCGCAGAAUAAGCACCGGCUAACUCUGUG